UACGAAGGGGGCUAGCGUUGCUCGGAAUCACUGGGCGUAAAGGGUGCGUAGGCGGCUUCUUAAGUCAGGGGUGAAAUCCUGGAGCUCAACUCCAGAACUGCCUUUGAUACUGAGUAGCUUGAGUCCGGGAGAGGUGAGUGGAACUGCGAGUGUAGAGGUGAAAUUCGUAGAUAUUCGCAAGAACACCAGUGGCGAAGGCGGCUCACUGGCCCGGUACUGACGCUGAGGUGCGAAAGCGUGGGGAGCAAACAGG
rnacentral:rRNA from 1 species